rnacentral:lncRNA from 1 species
AGGAUAAAUUUUUACAACAUGCAACAAUAUUCUUUCGGUGCUCAUCUCUCAAGCAAACCGUGUAGGAGGGAGUUGACUCUACCUCCAAACUCAACUCAUCCACCAACUUGGUUGAAAUGAAAAUAUGGCUUACACCACUGCCAAUUUGUACUAACACCUUCUUUCCUUUUAAUACCCUUUGUAACUUCAUAGUGUUAGAUGAUGUUAAGCCCCUAUCAAAAAAAUUGACAACUCCAUUUGAAUUUGUUCCUUCUCCUCUUUUUCUUCUUGUUUCAUUACUUCCUCAUCGUCUCCCAUAAUGAAUACUAUAAGGGGCACUUAUGUCCUGGGCUAUAAGGUCCUCCACAAUGGAAGCAUCUUCCCUCUUCUCUUCUUUUAAUAUAUUCAGGAUAAGACAAAUUCCUCCUCCCCCAUUUUAGCUGCCCCCUAAAUUAUUGCUUCCAACCUUAGAUUCUAUUGUGGUUCCUCCUUCCCUUCUAACUGUGCUGACAUUACUAAAACUUCUUCGUUCUUCCUAUUCCCCUUUAAAGUUUCCACCUUAGAAGUCACACAUCCAUUACCUUGAUAACGAAUUUGAUAGCCUCCACUUUUGUUCAUUUCUCCCCCAUUUUAAUCUCUUUCGAAACCUCUUCCAUAUUGCAACAUCCAUGGACCUUAAAAGAUCCUUAGGACUAUGCGGUCUUAUUCGACUUCUUAUGUUAAGAUGUAAGCCCGCAAAGAAAUAUCCCAUCAAUUGUUCCUCCGUCAACUUGGUUACUUGUCCCACAACAUUUCAAAAUCUUGAAUAUACUUCUCUAUUUCACCGUUUUGCCUAACCUCUACCAACUUUUCAAACACUGAACAUCUUUCCUUUCCCCCAAAUCUCUUAAUAAGUGCUUCCAUCAACUCCUCCAAAGUAGGUUCCUUGGUUUUCAUCUUCCAAAACUGAAACCAAUGAUUAGCUCCUCCUUCCAUACUUAUGAAAUCCAAUUUAAUUUCCUCUCUAGAUAAAACUUCCUAAACUUCGAAGAAUUUUUCUGCCCUUGUUAUCCAUCCCACUAGAUCUUCUCCUUCAAACAUAGGAAGUUUUACUCUCGUCAUCCAUUCCCACUAAUUCUCCUUUCUCUCUUCCUCCCAUUCUUUUUCAGUUUCAUCCCUUUUUCCCACCCUGUCUCUGGACACAAACCCUCUACUUCCUUAAGAUCCUCUUUCCAUAUUUUUCAUUCUUCGUAGAAAAUCCUUCAUCGUGUCACUAAGCCUUUGGAAAUUGUCUCGAUAUUCCUCUCUCUACUCUUCGAUUGCUCGGGCAUUUUCCUUCACUAGUCUUUCCACUACACUCAUGCGACUCUCCAGGUCUCACGGUUUCUUUGAUCCAGCCAGUCGGACAAAUUGUUAGGUUUCUUAGUGACAACAAACCAAGAUUCUAUGUCAAAAUAAACAAUCACAAAUAGAUAAAUGAAUCCUCACUAUGAGGAAACAAUUUAUUGAAUGGAAAAUACUGAAAACUAUCAACAACCUCCAAGGGAAAACAUUCCCUUCUACACAGGACAGUUCCUAUUCAAAAAUAAAAGACUCAACAACCAGAACUAGUAUAUGCCCCCUCCUUAAAAGACAAAAAUUGCCUAACUACUAAUUAAAACUUUCUUUAACUACUGCUUAAACUCCUUUUAAUUACCCCUAACCACUUCUUACUCACUU